CACGGGGGGAGCGAACGUUGUUCGGAAUCACUGGGCGUAAAGGGCGUGUAGGCGGUUCGGUAAGUGGAAUGUGAAAUCCCCCGGCUUACCCGGGGAACUGCAUCCCAUACUGCUGGACUUGAGUGCGGGAGAGGAUGGAGGAAUUCCGGGUGUAGCGGUGGAAUGCGUAGAGAUCCGGAGGAAGACCGGUGGCGAAGGCGGUCUGCUGGGCAGUUUCUGACACUGAGGCGCGACAGCGUGGGGAGCAAACAGG
rnacentral:rRNA from 1 species